rnacentral:lncRNA from 12 species
CGCGGGCGGAAAAAUGAAAGCUCGGAGCGGGUCGCGGCCGCUUCGUGCGGGCGCCGCGGGCCGAGCGGGGGCGAGUGAGACCCGCGGGCUCGGCGGGACCCCGGCCGCACAGGCUUCCCGGAGCCGCGGGGCCGCUCCCCCGCUCGUGCAUGCACUCCCGCGCACGCCCGCAAGCCUCGGUGCACGUGCACACCUCGCAAAAUGCGAAGACCCCCCAGUGCACACUCGCGCCCCUGCGUGCGUUCCCCCGCACGCGCACAGCUCGCUCAGGCACGCGCGUGCCCAAGGGCGCGCCCCACUCGCGCACGGACAGUAGGCCCCCCAGGAGCGGAUUCGCACCCACUCCCACCCGCCUUCCGAUCUGAACCCGCAUGCUGCCCAGGGGCCCCCCCCAACACACACUGGCACAGGCUUAAAAUCCGCCCCUUUGGCCCCGCAGCUCCGGUGUCCCCACUUUCCAAGAACAGGUUCCGAUUCCUCAUAGAUGGUAGAGGCCCUGGCAGGAAGUUUAUACGGCUCAACGUAAACACGUUCUGGGGGAUUCUUUAAUAAUAAUAAUAGAGAAUUCCGCGUGCGCGGGGGGAGUUGGCCUAAUGCCCCUGUGGGCUCGGCCUGCCGCCGCCGCGGGGCCUCUGACACUGCGCGCCAGGCCAGGUUCCGGAAAGCAGCCUGCGCGGGUGGGAGCGCAGGCCCCGGAGGCCCUCGCGCCGGGCGGUCGGAGCCGGGAGCUCGCGCGCUCGCCUCGCCUCGCCUCGCCUCCCCUCGCAGGACCGGGGCGCCGGCGCGGGACCGCACCGAGCGGAGCGCAAGGCGGCCAGAGGCACCCAGGGGCUGGUCACCGUCUCAAGAUGUGGAAGGCGGAGCUUCUCUCCUGCUGGAUUUUUCAGGUUUUUUUCCAUUUUCUCUAUUAUAAAACUAUGAGCACGAACAUUCUCACACCAGCAAAUGUUUCUAACAUGAGCAUUCGCUUACUUCCUUGGAAUAAUUUUCUAAAAGUAAGAUUUUUACCAAAUCAAGGCAUUACGGCCAUUAAUCAAGCUAGUUAUUACUAUCUAGUAAUAGAUAGUAGCUAG